UUCAAUCACAUUAAAAAAAACAACGUUCCACUUUUUCAAGGUGCUUCUUCAUUUUUUGGUUCCUUUAGGGGUAAAAAUAAAUUGAGUAAAAUUUUAUGAGAUUUGAAAAAUAACCACUGAUGCCAGGCCCCCGUUUUUAGUGACGUGCGAGUGACAUUUUGAGUUACA